UACGUAGGGACCAAGCGUUGUUCGGAUUUACUGGGCGUAAAGGGCGCGUAGGCGGCAAUUCAAGUCAUCUGUGAAAUCUCCGGGCUUAACCCGGAACGGUCAGGUGAUACUGUUUUGCUAGAGUGCGGAAGGGGCAAUCGGAAUUCUCGGUGUAGCGGUGAAAUGCGUGGAUAUCGAGAGGAGCACCAGAGGUGAAGACGGGUUGCUGGGCCGACACUGACGCUGACAGCGCGAAAGCCAGGGGAGCAAACGGG
rnacentral:rRNA from 1 species